CAAGUUGGCUUUGGAAAAUGACAAACUUCGCAGUCUGGUGCUGGAAGAAUUAGAAGGGCUUGAAACGUGGGAAAAUAAUGGAGAAACAGCUUUGAAGUGGUUAUUCAUCUCCUUCAAAUACACCCACCGGACAACUGGGACAGAUACAAGCCGCAAAGGGAGGUACCUCCCAUGGUCAGCCCUGCAGAAGUUAGAAAGGAGUGGGGAGAAGAAAUGGUGGAGCUGGCAACAUCUUUGUGAUCUCUCAAGUGGAUCCACAGCCCAGGUGGAGCAUCCUGUUCUACUAAAGGUUGUAGAAACAUUUCUAUCCCACCUCUUUGUCUUUGGGCUGAGUCCAGAAAACUUCAGUGACAUCUGGGAAAAAAGUGAUGAAACUGUACCUGAACAACAACAUUAAAAUGUAGCUUGCUGGCAGCAUGGGCUGUGUUAUGUGAGGUCUGCCUGUUCCUGCUUUACCCAGAGAGCACCAAGAGCAAGCUGGACAUGUCCUCAGAUGGCUGCAGAAGUCAGGUUGUGAGAGCUGCACCGUGGCAGGUGAAUUGCAACAGGGUCAAUACUGCAAUGCUGUUGUACAGAAAACUUCAGAUGUGAACCACUGAUUCCUUGUGGAGAAAAAACCUCAUCUGGGGUUUUCCCAUUUCUGGUGAGUAUCUUAGCAGUUUGCAGAUGAUGUCUCUCUUGACUUCAGAGAUGUUGCUCACCUUUCACAGCCGAAGAUAAAGCCUCAUAAUGCAGCAGAGCCAGAGCCUGAGCACAGAACGCUGAACAGAGAUCUAAAUGUUGACCUCAAUAGUACAUGCCUGAAGUUGAGUGCUUCCUGAAUCCUGUUACUGUCUGGUUCGUUCCUGUAGCUCUUGUGGAGCAUGUUGUGACAACCUGAAUAUUUUUCCAUCUUUAUCAAGCUGCUUGUGGAAAGGGUGCAUUGAAGGAGCUCUGACGACAGUCUCUGAUUUGUGCUCAGCAGUUACUAACUGUUGUUACUGCCACCCCCAAAUACUACUUUGCUGCUAACUCCUCUGAUCUCCUCUGGAUGUUAGAAACUAAAUGCUGAAGCGUGUUUGAAUAGUAUCUGUAGUGAUGGAACUGAUCCUGUUGGGUACUAAAGGCCUCCAGCUUUUGCUGGCCUCUAUGAGAUUUAGGGUCUCAGCCUUUGUUAGCCUUGGGCCCUUAGAAAAAAUUUCUUUUUCUUUCCAUUACAUUGUGAUAGGGAUGUAGAUUUCCUUAGGGACUUUCUUUGUUGGGUUUUGUUGGGCAGUUUGGUUUUUUUUUUACUAUUUCUUUGUGGGUUUUUUUUUUGUCCCUUCUCUUUCCAUUGAACUGGGUUGAGAACAUAUUGAGACUUCCGUCAUCACAAGGACUGUUCCCUCAUUCCCUGCCCUGUGGUCAAAUGUAAUGUCACAUUGGCCAACUGAUUGUAAGAAUGUCCUUUACUAAAAGCAAGUAAGCAAGCAUGAUAUGUCCUACAGCAUCCUGUAAUUUAGAAGGUAUGUAAAUGACAACAUAUAUAUUUGUUAAGUAGAAAGUUGAUAGCAGAGUCAAGAAGAAAACAGUCACACCCAAUAGGAUAUGUGUGUGUGAUUAGUGUGGUCAAUAUGUAUAUACCACUGAAAGAAAAUACACCUGUGCAUACUAUUGCCAAGCUCCUAACAGUGUUCCUUAUUCCUCAACUUUUCUACAUGCACAGCGUUGUUCUUCUUUCCUAGAUGUUAAUCUCACUGAAGCAAAGGCCAAAUUAUCAACAGAAAAUCUCAGUGUAUGGAAGACUUGAUUGAGAGGGGCAGGUGUCCACUGGUUGAUACCUGGAGGAAAGAGAGUUCUUCUUUUAGUGUGCAGUAAGUGCUGCUGCCUUAUUCACACAUGGGGGAAGGCAUCUCACAAGUGACCUUACAAAUGAGAAG
ensembl:lncRNA